rnacentral:sRNA from 1 species
GAAGCCGCCGGGGCCGCCUAGAGAAGAGGCUGUGCUCUGGGGCUCCGGCUCCUCAGAGAGCCUCGGCUAGUUUUAAUUUCUAGUAUGGUAAAAUACUGGUAAACAAAGCAUCUGGGACCCUCAGCUUUUAAUAAUGUGAAGAUAUCCUGAGACCAAGAAGUUGGAGGAAGCUGCUAAGCAUAGUGAGUAUACAUGGUAAACACUCAAAUGCCUGUUGAAUAGCUGGAUGUAGUGAAAAAUGACUCCAGGUAUUAAGCCUGGAUUACUGGGAGGGUGGGCAUGCCAGGACAGGGAGCAGAUUUUAAUGGAGAAAGAUAGGUUCAAGUUGAGUUUUAAGUAGGACAGGCAGGGGUAAUCACAGGAGGCAGCUGGAAAUUCAGAAUUUGGGCUUGAGAAAACUAAAAUACCAUGUUUUCCUUUCCAGUGAAAAUUGCUUUCAUCAUAGACUAUAUGAUUGAAUAGCUACAAUCCCACAGCUGAUUAGCAUACAUGUUUGCCUUGGGGCAGAAGUAUGAGGGUGACAAAGCAGGCUUCUCAUAAGCAAUGGUAAAUUUUUUCACAUUGUGCACAUUAAAAAAUGCAGUAUAGGAGAGAGCUGUCUAUAUGGUGUUCCUCUUCAACUUAAAAAUAAAUAAAUAACCAAGGU